AUAAUGACGACGACGACAACAAACAACAACAACAACAACAUCGCCACACAGAGAGAGAGAUACGUUAUACUGUAAGCGAGCGAGAGAGAGAAAACCGACAUCCACACACUGAAAAUAAUACAUGCAGUUAAAUAUACCUGUUGUUCUAACUCCAAGGGGAGCACCACCGACCACCCACCCACCACCAAAACUGACAGCCGAGCAAGCAACUUCUUUCUCUCCACCCCAUCGCUGGAUUGUUCCUUCCACUCUUGCCCAUCGUAUAAAACAACGUUUACCAGUAAAUAUCGGUUUAUUCCUGAAACCAGAAGCCCUAAACAUAUCUUUGUUUAUAAGAUGACUGGCAAAGAAUUCAAUUGACAUCUCUGGAAACAGCAUUAGUUCCCGGAAGCACUUUCUUCACACGAUUAUGUACCUGCAUACAUAAACCUGGAAUUCCAAGAUUUCAUUAUUACGCUGAGCUUUAAAGGCAGAUGGAUAAUCACUUGGUCCUCUAAUACAGGGUGCUGUUAAAUUUACACCCGAGCCCCCCUUUCCAGCCCUAAGAGCCCCUCCUCCACCCAGCCUUGUAUGAAGGUACAUGUCAUUGUGAAGAGAGGCCAGUUCAGCCAUCUCUGGAAUUUCAGCUGAUGGGGAGAGUGCAGCCAUGAUCACAGUUUAUGCUAACUAUUCUCCAUAUAGUUGAGCACCUCGUACAUGAUUGCAUGGAAGGAUUUAGCAGUGCAAAGCCGUCUUUUCCUUUUUUUUCUUUUCGGAAGGUGAGGACAAAACCUGUAGCGUAUUUUUUCACAUGUGAGUUUUCUGAAAAGACCAGGAAAAAUAAAUCUCUCAAGAAAGGCUAGAAUUAUAUCUCUCAAGUCUCUGCAUUAUUAUUUUUUGCUAGUUAAUCUUUAUUAGAUGUACUCCGAUUUCUGCAUUAUUAUUAUUAUUAUUAUUUGGCUAGUUACUCUUUAUUAGAUGUACCAAUAUCCAUUGGUGGUCAUGUUUUUCUGUAACGUUUUAAUUAUCAUACAAGCAUACACUGUAAGAGUACACACUUAUUAGAAGAUUGGAAUGUUGAACUAGGCAAAAAUGUUUGCUUUUAUUUAUGUAAAUGGCUGCUAUCCUGUUUUUAUUAUUCCUGGCUACCAUCUCAUAACUGUUGUAUUUUGAUCUAAUGGGCAAUGUCGGGCAAUGUUCAGACAUUCUGUGGUUUAUGUAUUUGUGUAAUUGUAUGUAUGUAACUACUAACUCUAGAUUGUAACUAAGAAACAUGUUCGUUUCAUUUAUUCAGAAUAGUAUAUUUCCUGUCUAAAAAUAUUUUCAAUUAUAUGAGAAAAGGAAUUUUUUUUUUUUUAAGAUUUGUCCUGCAAGGUCUGGUUUCUCUGCUUUUAAAAAAUACUGCCGGGGCCGCUAUCUAGUUUCACUUGAUAGACCAAAGUUACCAUUGACACUGUCUUGCAAUGCUGAACAAAUUUAUAUCCUUUGCACUUUAAAUGAAUAUAAGAUAAGGAAAAUCAAAGUGUCAAUUGUAUAUACAUUCACUGUACAGUAGAAUGUAUAUCUUUAGUCAGUCUGACUCUGUUUAUAAAGGGGGUAUUUUCCUUUGUUGUUGGAAGAGGAGUACUUGAGCAAUGUAUUUGCUAGUCAAUAUAAAGUGUUUACAUGUAAUUACUUAAUAAAUUAUUUGAUUUAAGAUG